UACGGAAGGCAGCAGUGGGGAAUAUUGCACAAUGGGCGAAAGCCUGAUGCAGCUAUGCCGCGUGUAUGAAGAAGGCCUUAGGGUUGUAAAGUACUUUCAUCGGGGAGGAAAAAACAAAACUAAUAAUUUUAUUUCUUGACGUUAUCCGAAAAAGAAGCACCGGCUAACUCCGUGCCAGCAGCCGCGGUAAUACGGAGGGUGCUAGCGUUAAUCAGAAUUACUGGGCGUAAAGAGCACGUAGGUGGUUUUUUUAAGUUCAGAUGUGAAAUCCCUGGGCGUUAACCUGGAACUGCAUUUUGAAACUGAAAUACUAGAGUAUCGUAGAGGGAGGUAGAAUUCUAGGUGUAGCGGUGAAAUGCGUAGAUAUCUGGAGGAAUACCUGUGGCGAAAGCGGGCCUCCUAAACGAAUACUGACACUGAGGUGCGAAAGCGUGGGGAGCAAACAGGGAUUAGAUACC
rnacentral:rRNA from 1 species